UACGUAGGGGGCUAGCGUUGUCCGGAUUAUUGGGCGUAAAGAGCGUGUAGGCGGCCAGGUAGGUCUGCUGUGAAAACUCGAGGCUCAACCUCGAGACGUCGGCGGAAACCAUCUGGCUAGACGUCCGGAAGAGGAGAGUGGAAUUCCUGGUGUAGCGGUGAAAUGCGCAGAUAUCAGGAAGAACACCCGUGGCGAAGGCGGCUCUCUGGGAGCGGUACUGACGCUGAGACGCGAAAGCGUGGGGAGCGACAGG
rnacentral:rRNA from 1 species